AUUUUGACAUUUAUCACACUAAAACAAUGAAAAACACUCGCUGCUUCGGACAUCCUCGAGGUGAGCACGUUUGCCAACACUCAGAAGACGUUUCUAGUUCGUCUAGACGAGGCCCUGCUGUCG
rnacentral:lncRNA from 1 species